rnacentral:rRNA from 1 species
UAUUGGGCGUAAGAGCUCGUAGGCGGUUUGUCGCGUCUGCCGUGAAAGUCCGGGGCUCAACUCCGGAUCUGCGGUGGGUACGGGCAGACUAGAGUGAUGUAGGGGAGACUGGAAUUCCUGGUGUAGCGGUGAAAUGCGCAGAUAUCAGGAGGAACACCGAUGGCGAAGGCAGGUCUCUGGGCAUUAACUGACGCUGAGGAGCGAAAGCAUGGGGAGCGAACAGGAUUAGAUACCCUGGUAGUCCAUGCCGUAAACGUUGGGCACUAGGUGUGGGGGACAUUCCACGUUUUCCGCGCCGUAGCUAACGCAUUAAGUGCCCCGCCUGGGGAGUACGGCCGCAAGGCUAAAACUCAAAGGAAUUGACGGGGGCCCGCACAAGCGGCGGAGCAUGCGGAUUAAUUCGAUGCAACGCGAAGAACCUUACCAAGGCUUGACAUGAACCGGUAAGACCUGGAAACAGGUCCCCCGCUUGCGGUCGGUUUACAGGUGGUGCAUGGUUGUCGUCAGCUCGUGUCGUGAGAUGUUGGGUUAAGUCCCGCAACGAGCGCAACCCUCGUUCUAUGUUGCCAGCACGUGAUGGUGGGGACUCAUAGGAGACUGCCGGGGUCAACUCGGAGGAAGGUGGGGACGACGUCAAAUCAUCAUGCCCCUUAUGUCUUGGGCUUCACGCAUGCUACAAUGGCCGGUACAAAGGGUUGCGAUACUGUGAGGUGGAGCUAAUCCCAAAAAGCCGGUCUCAGUUCGGAUUGGGGUCUGCAACUCGACCCCAUGAAGUCGGAGUCGCUAGUAAUCGCAGAUCAGCAACGCUGCGGUGAAUACGUUCCCGGGGCCUUGUACACACCGCCCGUCAAGUCACGAAAGUUGGUAACACCCGAAGCCGGUGGCCUAACCCCUUGUGGGAGGGAGCUGUCGAAGUGGGACUG